AGGAUCGAUAAUGGAACGUCUUCCAGUUUUGAAACAAAAAAGAUCUGACAUCAUUAAUUAUUUCUGGUGUAAGCGGAAUUGUGACAGUAACAGUAACUGUUACAGUUUUUGUGAUAAUUUGCGUAAAACAAAGAAAAUUGCAAAAAUUGACAAAGGGUACAAAACGUUCAGGUGAAGCUGAAAUGUCGGACUUUUCUGCCGUGACUGGAGUUGAUAAUCGAUAUCAAGAAAUGGACGAACAUACUGAAACUUAGAAAUUAUCUGAUUCCAGGGACGGUCCUGUUAGUAUAAGAAUAAGAAUAAAUAACAUUUGCAACACUUAAAUGUUUUUUUUUAUUCAAGGUACCUUCCUUUUGAUGAAAAAAAAUCAAACAAACAUACUUAAACUUCAACAUAUUCUUGGAAGUCAGUUGUACUUUAUUUCAAGUAACUAUAUUUUUAUUUAAUUUUCUGACAUGGUAUCUGGCUUAACUAGAAAUUUGAACGUAGUGUAUUUUAAAAUUGGGUUGUUGUUCCUGUUCAGAUGCGUGCACUUUUCUCAACAUUAUCCUCAUAUCCAUUUAUAUAUCUAAUUACAUGUAUAAUUUACAUCUUUUUUUCAUGCUUAUUACUGCAUUUGUAUUAUAACUUUUGUUUGCAAACAUGAUCAAUAAACGCUGAGAUUUCUAUGAAAUACCUAAGAACAUAUAUGAUACAUCAUUAUUUUAUUGGAAAAGGUCAUAUGUAAAUAUAGCAUGUACUAUUUGUUUUUGAAAAAAGAAGUGUUUUUGUGAGUAUAUUCUCUUGUAGAUGUUUGUCUUCAAUCUUCUGAUCUUCAGUAUUAUAGGUAAUAAAGGUAUUUCUAUCUUUUUUAAUAUUUUGAAGAGAGCAGCCUUUUUAUAAGACUGUUAUCCUACAAUACAAUAACCCUGCAAAAAGAUUUGUACAGUGUUUUCACGAUGUAUUUAAUACUAAUAGUUUGCAUUAUUUCUUAAACAUAAAUUGUUGUUGAGAUGAAUUAUUAUUUUUGAGUGAUUGAAAUCAUAAUGUAUUCAGCUAUAUAAUACUCAUUAGAUCGCAUAUUCUACAUAUCCAGAAACUUUUGUGUCUGUUAUAAAAGGUUUUCAUGUGCAAAUAUAACAUUGUUUUCCAUGUA